rnacentral:lncRNA from 1 species
UUUUCAGUGCAGUCACAUCCCCAGGUUGUGUUCUCCUGCAGCCCAUGGAUGCUGUGGCACAGGACUUGCUCUGGUGAAGAAGCUUUUCCCCCAAAUAUGUGCAAUUUCCCACUCCACUUCCUUUGGAAGAAAGGAGGGGGAGAAAAAAAUUAGACCUCUUCAAAUAAGGAAAGGCCCCAUGUUUGGAAAUGGUCAGCUCCCAGCCAUGAUUUUA